UGGUGGGAGGCUGCCUGGAUGGUGGGAGGCUGCCUGCAUGGUAGGAGGCUCUAAUGUCAACCAAUCAUUACAAUGUUUUUGUUUGACCCACUUGAAUGUGACCAAAGACAUGACAAACACUUCCCUUGAAUCAACCAUAUUUCAGAGAGAUUAACUUUGAUGUGGGCUUGGGACAGGCAGGUUCUGCCCAUGUUACUAUGAUGUGGGUUCUGCCCAUGUUACUAUGAUGUGGGUUUGGGACAGGCAGGUUCUGCCCAUGUUACUAUGAUGUGGGCUUGGGACAGGCAGGUUCUGCCCAUGUUACUAUGAUGUGGGCUUGGGACAGGCAGGUUCUGCCCAUGUUACUAUGAUGUGGGUUUGGGACAGGCAGGUUCUGCCCAUGUUACUUUGAUGUGGGCUUGGGACAGGCAGGUUCUGCCCAUGUUACUAUGAUGUGGGCUUGGGACAGGCAGGUUCUGCCCAUGUUACUUUGAUGUGGGCUUGGGACAGGCAGGUUCUGCCCAUGUUACUAUGAUGUGGGCUUGGGACAGGCAGGUUCUGCCCAUGUUACUAUGAUGUGGGCUUUGGACAGGCAGGUUCUGCCCAUGUUACUAUGAUGUGGGCUUUGGACAGGCAGGUUCUGCCCAUGUUACUAUGAUGUGGACUUGGGACAGGCAGGUUCUGCCCAUGUUACUAUGAUGUGGGCUUGGGACAGGCAGGUUCUGCCCAUGUUACUAUGAUGUGGGCUUGGGACAGGCAGGUUCUGCCCAUGUUACUUUGAUGUGGGCUUGGGACAGGCAGGUUCUGCCCAUGUUACUAUGAUGUGGGCUUGGGACAGGCAGGUUCUGCCCAUGUUACUAUGAUGUGGGCUUGGGACAGGCAGGUUCUGCCCAUGUUACUUUGAUGUGGGCUUGGGACAGGCAGGUUCUGCCCAUGUUACUAUGAUGUGGGCUUGGGACAGGCAGGUUCUGCCCAUGUUACUUUGAUGUGGGCUUGGGACAGGCAGGGUUCUGCCCAUGUUACUUUGAUGUGGGCUUGGGACAGGCAGGGUUCUGCCCAUGUUACUUUGAUGUGGGCUUGGGACAGGCAGGUUCUGCCCAUGUUACUAUGAUGUGGGCUUGGGACAGGCAGGUUCUGCCCAUGUUACUUUGAUGUGGGCUUGGGACAGGCAGGUUCUGCCCAUGUUACUAUGAUGUGGGCUUUGGACAGGCAGGUUCUGCCCAUGUUACUAUGAUGUGGGCUUUGGACAGGCAGGUUCUGCCCAUGUUACUAUGAUGUGGGCUUGGGACAGGCAGGUUCUGCCCAUGUUACUUUGAUGUGGGCUUGGGACAGGCAGGUUCUGCCCAUGUUACUUUGAUGUGGGCUUGGGACAGGCAGGUUCUGCCCAUGUUACUUUGAUGUGGGCUUGGGACAGGCAGGGUUCUGCCCAUGUUACUAUGAUGUGGGCUUGGGACAGGCAGGUUCUGCCCAUGUUACCAUGAUGUGGGUUCUGCCCAUGUUACUAUGAUGUGGGCUUUGGACAGGCAGGUUCUGCCCAUGUUACUAUGAUGUGGGCUUUGGACAGGCAGGUUCUGCCCAUGUUACUAUGAUGUGGACUUGGGACAGGCAGGUUCUGCCCAUGUUACUAUGAUGUGGGCUUGGGACAGGCAGGUUCUGCCCAUGUUACUAUGAUGUGGGCUUGGGACAGGCAGGUUCUGCCCAUGUUACUUUGAUGUGGGCUUGGGACAGGCAGGGUUCUGCCCAUGUUACUAUGAUGUGGGCUUGGGACAGGCAGGUUCUGCCCAUGUUACCAUGAUGUGGGUUCUGCCCAUGUUACUAUGAUGUGGGCUUGGGACAGGCAAGUUCUGCCCAUGUUACUUUGAUGUGGACUUGGGACAGGCAGGUUCUGCCCAUGUUACUAUGAUGUGGACUUGGGACAGGCAGGUUCUGCCCAUGUUACUAUGAUGUGGGCUUGGGACAGGCAGGUUCUGCCCAUGUUACUAUGAUGUGGGCUUGGGACAGGCAGGUUCUGCUCAUGUUACUAUGAUGUGGGCUUGGGACAGGCAGGUUCUGCCCAUGUUACUUUGAUGUGGGCUUGGGACAGGCAGGUUCUGCCCAUGUUACUAUGAUGUGGGCUUUGGACAGGCAGGUUCUGCCCAUGUUACUAUGAUGUGGGCUUGGGACAGGCAGGUUCUGCCCAUGUUACUAUGAUGUGGGCUUGGGACAGGCAGGUUCUGCCCAUGUUACUUUGAUGUGGGCUUUGGACAGGCAGGUUCUGCCCAUGUUACUAUGAUGUGGGCUUGGGACAGGCAGGUUCUGCCCAUGUUACUAUGAUGUGGGCUUGGGACAGGCAGGUUCUGCCCAUGUUACUUUGAUGUGGGCUUUGGACAGGCAGGUUCUGCCCAUGUUACUAUGAUGUGGGCUUGGGACAGGCAGGUUCUGCCCAUGUUACUAUGAUGUGGGCUUGGGACAGGCAGGUUCUGCUCAUGUUACUAUGAUGUGGGCUUGGGACAGGCAGGUUCUGCCCAUGUUACUUUGAUGUGGGCUUGGGACAGGCAGGUUCUGCCCAUGUUACUAUGAUGUGGGCUUGGGACAGGCAGGUUCUGCCCAUGUUACUUUGAUGUGGGCUUGAUGUGGGUUUGGGACAGGCAGGUUCUGCCCAUGUUACUAUGAUGUGGGCUUGGGACAGGCAGGUUCUGCUCAUGUUACUAUGAUGUGGGCUUGGGACAGGCAGGUUCUGCCCAUGUUACUUUGAUGUGGGCUUGGGACAGGCAGGUUCUGCCCAUGUUACUAUGAUGUGGGCUUGGGACAGGCAGGUUCUGCCCAUGUUACUUUGAUGUGGGCUUGAUGUGGGUUUGGGACAGGCAGGUUCUGCCCAUGUUACUAUGAUGUGGGCUUGGGACAGGCAGGUUCUGCCCAUGUUACUAUGAUGUGGGCUUGGGACAGGCAGGUUCUGCCCAUGUUACUAUGAUGUGGGCUUGGGACAGGCAGGUUCUGCCCAUGUUACUAUGAUGUGGGCUUGGGACAGGCAGGUUCUGCCCAUGUUACUAUG